UACGAAGGGGGCUAGCGUUGCUCGGAAUUACUGGGCGUAAAGGGCGCGUAGGCGGAUAUCUAAGUUGGGGGUGAAAUCCCGGGGCUCAACCUCGGAAUUGCCUUCAAAACUGGAUAUCUUGAGUUCGGGAGAGGUGAGUGGAACUCCGAGUGUAGAGGUGAAAUUCGUAGAUAUUCGGAAGAACCCCAGUGGCGAAGGCGACUCACUGGCCCGAUACUGACGCUGAGGCGCGAAAGCGUGGGGAGCAAACAGG
rnacentral:rRNA from 1 species